rnacentral:rRNA from 1 species
GAUGAACGCUGGCGGCGUGCCUAAUACAUGCAAGUCGAGCGAACAGACGAGGAGCUUGCUCCCCCGACGUUAGCGGCGGACGGGUGAGUAACACGUGGAUAACCUACCUAUAAGACUGGGAUAACUUCGGGAAACCGGAGCUAAUACCGGAUAAUAUAUUGAACCGCAUGGUUCAAUAGUGAAAGACGGUUUUGCUGUCACUUAUAGAUGGAUCCGCGCCGCAUUAGCUAGUUGGUAAGGUAACGGCUUACCAAGGCGACGAUGCGUAGCCGACCUGAGAGGAUGAUCAGCCACACUGGAACUGAGACACGGUCCAGACUCCUACGGGAGGCAGCAGUAGGGAAUAUUCCACAAUGGGCGAAAGCCUGACGGAGCAACGCCGCGUGAGUGAUGAAGGUCUUCGGAUCGUAAAACUCUGUUAUUAGGGAAGAACAGAUGUGUAAGUAACUAUGCACGUCUUGACGGUACCUAAUCAGAAAGCCACGGCUAACUACGUG